rnacentral:rRNA from 1 species
UCUUCGGAGGAGUGGCGCACGGGUGCGUAACGCGUGGGAACCUGCCCUUAGUUUGGAAUAACGGUUGGAAACGACUGCUAAUACCAAAUAAUGUCUUCGGACCAAAGAUUUAUCGCCUUUGGAUGGGCCCGCGUUGGAUUAGCUAGUUGGUGAGGUAGAGGCUCACCAAGGCGACGAUCCAUAGCUGGUCUUAGAGGAUGAUCAGCCACACUGGGACUGAGACACGGCCCAGACUCCUACGGGAGGCAGCAGUGGGGAAUAUUGGACAAUGGGCGAAAGCCUGAUCCAGCAAUGCCGCGUGAGUGAUGAAGGCCUUAGGGUUGUAAAGCUCUUUUACCAGGGAUGAUAAUGACAGUACCUGGAGAAUAAGCUCCGGCUAACUCCGUGCCAGCAGCCGCGGUAAUACGGAGG